rnacentral:rRNA from 1 species
CUUGCUACCGUUUGUUUCUAGCGGCGGACGUGUGAGUAACGCGUGAGCAACCUGCCUUGUACAGGGGGAUAACAGUUGGAAACGGCUGCUAAUACCGCAUAAGCGCACGGCAUCGCAUGAUGCAGUGUGAAAAACUCCGGUGGUGUGAGAUGGACCCGCGUCUGAUUAGCUAGUUGGCGGGGUAACGGCCUACCAAGGCGACGAUCAGUAGCCGGCCUGAGAGGGCGACCGGCCACAUUGGGACUGAGAUACGGCCCAGACUCC